ACCUCCAUAUGCCUCAGGUGCCGCCCUAAAAAGAUUAAAAAAUUAAUUAAUUAAUUAAUUAAUAGACUUUGGGGGAGCGGAUUUAGGUUUAUAGGAGAGUAGAAAGUACAAAGAGUUCCCAUGUUCCCAAGUUGCCUCUAUUAUUAACAUCUUGUGUGGUGUGGUACAUUUAUUAUAAUUGAUAAGCCAAUAUUAAUACAUUAUUAUUAAUUAAAGUCCAUAGAUUUCCUUAGGUUUUCUCUUUGUCUUGUACAUUCUAUGGGUUUUGACAAAUGUGUAAUGAUAGGUAUCCAUCAUGAUAGUAUCAUACAGAAUAAUUUCCCUGCCUAAAACUCCCCUGUGCAUUACUUAUUCAUGUCUUUUUUCCUUCCUCCCUCCAGCCCCUGGCAACCUGUUUUUUCUUUUUUUUCUCUCUCUCUAUAGUUUUGCCUUUUCCAGAAUGUCAUAUGCUUGGAUUCCAUACAGUUUUGUAGCUUUUUCAGGUUGGCUUCUUUUACCUAGCCAUACUCUUUUCAGGUUCUCUGUCUCUCUCCCUCUUUUUUUUUUUUUUUUGGCUGAAUAGCACAUUUCUUUUUAAUGCUGAAUAAUGUUCCAUUGUAUGACUGUAGCAUAGCUUGUUUAUCCAUUUACGGAUAAGCUUCCAAGUUUGGCAUUUAUGGAUAACAAGUGAGCCUUUCAUAAAACACAAAUAUGAUUUCAAGUGCUUUAAGUCAGCCAUAAAGAAAAAGUUGAGCUAAUUCAGUAUCUUGAACCUUAAAAAAUGAUAGCUCUUUUACCUUGGUAUCAAAAAUUUCUAGUUGAAUAAUCAGCUCAUAACAGUGCUCAGGGGUUAUGUGUGUGUGUAAUGACAGAAUGUGAAAAAGGAAGGGGUUAUAGAGGAGAAGAAGAAGGCAAAAGAAUUAUAUAUUAAGAUAAUUUUUGGAAAAUGAGAUGGUCUGAAAAUUCAACUGGAAAUUCAAAUGGACACUAAGAUGUUCAGGGCUCUGAAUUAAACAAUUAAUUUGAGAACAGUCCAGAGCAAAAGUAUCAUCAAGCUGGCCCAGAAGUGAGGUCAGUAGGUCUGUUUCACUCUAUGUGCAAUGGGAUGGUAGGGAAAAAGUAGAGCUUAUUUUUUAGAAAAGAAUUAAAGACAAGUUUUAUAAAAUAGAGAACUGGCCAGUUGAUGAUCAGAGGGUGGAGGUUAGAUAUUGACAUCAGGAAAAUAAUCGAACAAAAUCUAUCGAUAAUUGGCUUUAUUUCAUUUCGUUUAUUUGAUUUGGCCAAGGUGUACAGUGGCUUGAUAUGGGAUCUCAGCUCCCAGACCAGGGAUUGAACUUGGGUGGCAGUGGUGAAAGCACAGAAUCCUAACCAGUAGACCAUCAGGGGACUCUUCUUUAUUUUCUGUUCUUGAGUUAAAUUUUUUUACUUAGUAAAAAUGUUAUUGUGAAAAAGUUAUUUAGUUACUGGAUUUAAGAUGUGAAUAUUUUGAUUUAAAAAUUUUGUGACAUCUAAGGAAUAUAGAGAUUAAUGAGCUAUAGAGUCAUUUGAAUGUCUGAAAUAUUUUAGUUUUAGAAAUAUUUAUUUUUAAAUUUUUUUAUUGUAAUUGAUUUACAGUGUUCUCAAUUUCUGCUGUACAGCAAAGUGACUCAGUCAUACACACACAUGUAUAUAUACACAUAUUCAUUUUUCUCAUAUUAACUUCCAUCAUGUUAUACCACAAGUCAUUGGAUAUAGUUCCCUGUGUUAUACAACAGGACCUCAUUGCUUAUCCAUUCUAAGUAUAAUGGUUUGCAUCUACUAACUCCCAGUCCAUCCCACUCCUUUUCCCUCCGCCUUGGGAACCACAAGUCUGCUUUCCAUGUCUCUGUGUCUAUGUCUGUUCUGUAGGUAUGUUCAUCUCUGCCAUAUUUUAGAUUCCACGUAUGUGUGAUAUCAUAUGGUAUUUGUCUUUUUCUUUCAGACUUACUUCACUUAGUAGAAAACCUCUAGUUCCAUCAUGUUGCUGCAAAUGGCAUUAUUUUGUUCUUCUGAUGGCUGAGUAGUAGUCCAUUGUGUAUAUAUACCACAUCUUCUUAAGCCAUUCCUCUUUUGAUGGGCAUUUAGGUUGUUUCCAUGUCUUGGCUAUUGUGAAUAGUGCUGCAGUGAACACAAGGGUGCAUAUAUCUUUUUGAAUGAAAGUUUUAUCUGGAUAGAUGCCCAGGAAUGGGAUUGCUGGGUCAUAUGAUAGCUCUGUAUUUAGUUUUCUGUUGGUUUUCUACAACAGUUGAACUCCCCAAUUUACAUUUCUACCUGCAGUGCAGGGGGGUUCUCUUUUCUCCACACUCUCUCCAGAAUAUAUUUGUUGACUUGUUAAUGACCAUUCUGAUGGGUGUGAGGUGGUACUUCAUUGUAGUUUUGAUUUGCAUUUCUCUAGUAAUUAGUGAUGUUGAGCAUUUUUUCAUGUGCCUGUUGGCCAUCUGUAUGUUUUCUUUGGAGAAAUGUCUAUUUAGGUCUUCUGCCCAUUUUUCAAUUGGAUUGUUUAUUUGUUUUUGUUUUUUGUUUUUUUGCUGUUGAGUUGUAUGAAGAGUUUGUAUAUUGUGGAGAUCAACCCCUUGUUGGUUUGCAACUAUUUUCUCCCAUUCUGCAAGUUAUUUAUUUAUUUAUUUAUUUAAUGGUUUCCUUUGCUGUGCACAAGCUUGUAAAAUUUGAUUAGGUCCCAUUGGUUUAUUUUUGUUUUUAUUUUUAUUGCCUUGGGAGACUGACUUAAGAAAACAAUUGAUGUUAGAGAAUGUUUUGCCUAUGUUCUCUUCUAGGAGUUUUAUGAUGUCUUGUCUUAUGUUUAAGUCUUCAAGCCAUUUUGAGUUUAUUUUUGUGUAUGGUGUGAGGGUGUCUUCUAAUAUCAUUGACUUAUAUGUAGCCGUCUAGCACUACAUGCUGAAGAGACUGUCUUUUCCCCAUUUUAUGUUCUUUUCUCCUUUGUUGAAGAUUAAUUGAUUGUAGGUGUCCGGGUUUAUUUCUGGGCUCUCUAUUCUGUUCUGUUGGUCUGUAUGUCUGUUUUGGUACCAGUACCACACUGCCUUGAUUACUGUAGCUGGGAGAGUUAUGCCUCCUGCUUGGUUUUUGUUCCUCAGGAUUGCUUUGGCAAUUCUGGGUCUUUUAUGGUUCUCUAUGUAUUUUUGGAUUGUUUGUUCUAGUUCUGUGAAAAAUGUCAGGGGUAAUUUGUUAGGGAUUGCAUUGAAUCUGUAGAUUGCUUUGGGUAAUAUGGCCAUUUUAAACUAUUAAUUCUUCCAAUCCAGGAGCAUGGAAUACCUUUCCAUUUCUUUGAAUCAUCUUUAAUUUCCUUGAUAAUGUUUUAUAGUUCUCAGCAUAUAAGUCUUUCACCUCCUUGGUUAGUUUUAUUUGUAGGUAUUUAAUUUUUUGGGGGGGGUGCAAUUUUAAAAGGUAUUUUAUAUUUUGGAGUUCCUGUUGUGGCUCAGCAGAAAAAAUUUGACUAGUAUCCAUGAGGAUGCAGGUUCAGUCCCUGGCCUUGCUCAGUGGGUUAAGGAUCCAGUGUUGCCAUGAGCUCUGGUGUAGGUCGCAGAUGUGGCUUGGCUCUGGCAUUGCUAUGGCUGUGGUGUAGGCCAGCACCUGCAUCUCCUAUUCAAACCCUAGCCUGGGAACCUCCAUAUACCUAGGGGUGUGGUCCUAAAAAGACAAAAAAAAAAAGUAUUAUAUUUUUAUACUCCUUUUCAAUAUUUCAUUGUUAGUAUACAGAAGUGCAACCAGUUUCUGAAUGUUUAUCUUAUAUCCUGCUGCUUUGCUGAAUUCAUUAAUCAGUUCAAGUACUUUUUGUGUGGCAUCUUUUAAGGCUUUCUGUAUAUUGUAUCAUGUAGUGAUACUGCAUAUAGUGACAGUUUUACCUCUUUUCUUCCAUUUUGGAUACCUUUUAUUUCUUUAGUUUGUCUGAUUGCCAUGGCUAGGACUUCUAUAUUGAAUAAAGUGGAAAGAUGGACAUCCUUGUAUUGAUCCAGAUCUUAGUGAGAAGGCUUUCAGCUUUUCUCUGUUGAGUAUUAUAUUGGUUGUGGGUUUGUCAUAAAUGGCUUUUAUUAUGUUAUGUUCCCUCUAUACCCAUUCUGGUAAGAGUUUUUAUCAUGAAUGGAUGUUGGAUUUUGUCAAAUGCUUUUUCUGCAUCUGUUGAGAUGAUCAUGUGGUUUUUGACUUUUGUUAACGUGGUGUAUGACAUUGAUUGAUUUGAGUUUGUUGAACCAUCCUUGUGAACUUGGGGCAAAUCCCACUUGGUUGUGGUGUAUGAUCUUUUUUAUAGUUGUUGGACUUGGGUAAAUUUUUGUUGAGAAUUUUUGCAUUUAUAUGCAUCAAAGAUAUUGGCUUAUAAUUUUUUUUAGUAGUAUUUUUUCUGAUUUUGGUAUUAGGGUGAUGGAGUAUUCCUUCUUCUUCAGUCUUUUUUUUUUUUGUCUUUUUGCCAUUUCUUGGGCCGCUCCCGCGGCAUAUGGAGGUUCCCAGGCUAGGGGUCUAAUCGGAGCUGUAGCCACUAGUCUACACCAGAGCCACAGCAAUGUGGGAUCCGAGCCGUGUCUGCAACCUACACCACAGCUCACAGCAACACCGGAUUGUUAACCCACUGAGCAAGGGCAGGGACCGAACCCGCGACCUCAUGGUUCCUAGUUGGAUUCGUUAACCACUGAGCCACGACGGGAACUCCUUCAGUCUUUUUUUUAACAUUUAAGAAGGAUGGGUAUAAGUUUAUCUUUAUAUGUUUGGUAGAAUUUGCUUGAGAAGCCCUCUGGUCCUGGACUUUUAUUUGUAGGGAGUGUUUUUAUUACAUAUUUAAUUUUAUUUCUAGUGAUGGGUCUGUUCAAAUGAUCUAUUUCUUCUCGAUUCAGUUUUGGUGUUCUAUAUGUCCAUUUCUUCUAGUUUGUCAAAUUUGUUGGCAUGCAAUUAUUCGUAGUAUUCUUUUAUGGCUUUUGGUAUUUCUGUAGUAUCCAUUGUGAUUUUUCUUCUUUUUCAUUUCUUAUUUUAUUUGGGUUCUCUCUCCCUUCUUCUUGGUGAGUCUGGCCAGAGGUUUGUCAAUUUCGUUUACCCUUUCAAAGAACCAGCUCUUGGUUUUAUUGAUUUUUUUUCCUGCUGUUUUUUUUUUAAUCCCUAUUUUAUUGAUUUCUCCUCUGAUCUUUAUGAUUUCCUUCCUUCUGCUGACUUUAGGUUUUGUUUGUUCUUUUUUCUAAUUCUUUUAGGUGGUAGGUUAAGCUUUCGAUUUGAGAUUUUUCUUCUCUUUUGAGGAAGGCCUGUAUUGCUAUGAACUUCCUUCUUAGAACGCUUUUGUGGCAUCCCAUAAAUUUUGGAUGGUUGCGUUUUCAUUGUCAUUUGUCUUGAGGCAUUUUUAAAUUUGGCUUUUGAUCUUGUUGACCCAUUUGUUUUUUAGUAGCAUGUUGUUUAGUCCCUAUGUAGUCAGUUUUUUCUCAACUAUAGAAAUCUUUUCCUGUAGUUGAUUUCUAGUUUCAUGCCAUUGUGGUCAGGGAACAUGCUUGAAAUAAUUUCUAUAUUAUUCUAUACUUUUAAAUUUGUUGCGCUUAGUUCUAUGCCUUAAAACCACUCUUUUAAGCAAGUUUGAAAUACUAGUAUGCUUCCAAGGGUCAACAACCAAUUUGAAAUCAUGGAGUUUCUAGACUCUAAUCCUGAUUCAAAUAAAUACUUGUUUGGUCAAGUUAUUUAUGGUAAUGCCUUUGUGAUUUACUCCAUUUGUCAAUAAAUUCAGGAACACCAUAUAUUUCAUAGGUAUUUCAUUUCCAUGUUUAUACGUGCCACAUGCUAAAUAUUUUAGGGAAAACAGCAAUGAAUGAGACUGCCGCCUCUGUUUAUAUAGGGCAUGCCUAAAUGUGGAAAAAAUUAGGAAGGAGGAAAAUGUCAAGUUGUAAUAAAUGCUCAAAGAGUUUUAAAGAAGGGUGGUAUUACAUUCAGCUAUUGUGGGUCAAGAAAUUUGUAUGGAAGUUUUGUCAUUUUAGUUUUGCGUUAGAAAACUAGUUAAGGGUCAAAUUUGUUGAUAUAGGAGAGAAACAGCAUUCUAGAAAGCAAUUCAUGUUCAUUUAGAAGAAUUUGGGAAAGGGUAUAUAAGGCUGAAAAGGUGAUUAGGGUCAGAUUAUGGAAAGCUAUUCAUGCCAGAGUAUAAAGACAUUUUUUUAAUUAAGUAGAAAUAGAGAAUAGUUUUCUGGGAAAUAAAUGAGCUAGUACUAAUAGAAAGAAAAGAAGAGUGUUUUUCUUCCUAAUUUUUGCAAUUUGUUGAUUUGCUUAUGAAGUAUUUUAGAAUUAGGAGUUCCCUGGUGGCUCAAUGGGUUAUGGAUUCACCACUGUCACUGCUGUUGCAUGGGUUCAGUCCCUGGCCCAGGAACUUCCACAUGUCUCAGGUUCAACCAAAAAAAAAAAAAAAAA
rnacentral:tRNA from 1 species